GAUGAACGCUGGCGGCGUGCCUAAUACAUGCAAGUCGAGCGAACAGACGAGGAGCUUGCUCCUCUGACGUUAGCGGCGGACGGGUGAGUAACACGUGGAUAACCUACCUAUAAGACUGGGAUAACUUCGGGAAACCGGAGCUAAUACCGGAUAAUAUAUUGAACCGCAUGGUUCAAUAGUGAAAGACGGUUUUGCUGUCACUUAUAGAUGGAUCCGCGCCGCAUUAGCUAGUUGGUAAGGUAACGGCUUACCAAGGCAACGAUGCGUAGCCGACCUGAGAGGGUGAUCGGCCACACUGGAACUGAGACACGGUCCAGACUCCUACGGGAGGCAGCAGUAGGGAAUCGUCCGCAGUGGGCGAAAGCUUGACGGAGCAACGCCGCGUGAGUGAUGAAGGUCUUCGGAGCGUAAAACUCUGUUAUUAGGGAAGAACAAAUGUGUAAGUAACUAUGCACGUCUUGACGGUACCUAAUCAGAAAGCCACGGCUAACUACGUG
rnacentral:rRNA from 1 species